CAUGGAGGGACUUGGGCCAUAUAGGGACAUGGAUGGGGGUCAUAUAGGGACAGGGACUGUAUAGGGACUUGGGCCAUAUAGGGACUCAGGCCAUAUAGGGACAGGGACUGUAUAGGGUCUUGGGCCAUUUAGGGACAGGGACCAUAUAGGGACUUGGGCCAUAUAGGGACAUGGACGGGGGCCAUAUAGGGACAGGGACCGUGUAGGGACUUGGGCCAUGUAGGGACAGAGACAGGGCCAUAUAGGGACUUGAGCCAUAUAGGGAUGGGACCAUAGAGACUUGGGCCAUUUAGGGACAGGGACCAUAUAGGGAUUUGGCCCAUACAGGACCACAGGACCCGGUGUGACAGG